rnacentral:rRNA from 1 species
UGGGGAAUAUUGGACAAUGGGCGAAAGCCUGAUCCAGCCAUGCCGCGUGUGUGAAGAAGGUCUUCGGAUUGUAAAGCACUUUAAGUUGGGAGGAAGGGCAGUAAGCGAAUACCUUGCUGUUUUGACGUUACCGACAGAAUAAGCACCGGCUAACUCUGUGCCAGCAGCCGCGGUAAUACAGAGGGUGCAAGCGUUAAUCGGAAUUACUGGGCGUAAAGCGCGCGUAGGUGGUUCGUUAAGUUGAAUGUGAAAGCCCCGGGCUCAACCUGGGAACUGCAUCCAAAACUGGCGAGCUAGAGUAGGGCAGAGGGUGGUGGAAUUUCCUGUGUAGCGGUGAAAUGCGUAGAUAUAGGAAGGAACACUAGUGGCGAAGGCAGCCAUCUGGCCUAACACUGACGCUGAGGUACGAAAGCAUGGGGAGCAAACAGG